rnacentral:rRNA from 1 species
UCUAAUACCGGAUAGGACCGCGCCAUGCAUGUGGUGUGGUGGAAAGCUAUUUGCGGUGUGGGAUGGGCCCGCGGCCUAUCAGCUUGUUGGUGGGGUGAUGGCCUACCAAGGCGACGACGGGUAGCCGGCCUGAGAGGGUGUCCGGCCACACUGGGACUGAGACACGGCCCAAACUCCUACGGGAGGCAGCAGUGGGGAAUAUUGGACAAUGGGCGCAAGCCUGAUCCAGCCAUGCCGCGUGAGUGAUGACGGCCUUAGGGUUGUAAAGCUCUUUCGCUCGGGACGAUAAUGACGGUACCGAGAUAAGAAGCCCCGGCUAACUUCGUGCCAGCAGCCGCGGUAAUACGAAGGGGGCUAGCGUUGUUCGG